GAUGAGACCUCAGUGAUUGUGUAUAGGUAUGUGUAUUUUUAUUACUUCUGCUUUCAUCUAGGUAGAGUAAUUUGCUCUAAGGCUGGAAUCUCAUUUGUAAUACGUUUUAAUGAAAAGAUGGCAUGGGAUUUCUGAAAAAAGCAGAAGGUUUCUUCUCAAGAUGGCUUUGGGAACAAAUUAUGCUGAAGUGAGUUUGAAAAAUGAACUGAAGUCCUCAGGCAUCAACUCAAAUUCUCCUGCAGGAUUCCCUCGAGAGGGCAUGCAUGAAGCUGUAAAGGGGAAGCUAAAGCUGGAAUGGAGAUCCCAGGGAUAAAGAUAUGCCAGUAAUGUGGAAUGUCUGCUGAGGAAAGCUGUUGGCUGUAGAUGGAGUCAGCCUAAGAAAAAGACAAUGUGGAUGACAACCAGCAAGAUCAUUUAGGUGGUGCUGCAGAAGCUCUUUGAAGAUUACAUCUCACCACAAUAUUACCAAGGUUUCUUUCAAAAAAAUUCUCAGCUGCUUGAAGACAAAAAUUAUAAAAGAUUUAUAAAAGAAAUGAUUCACACAAAUUUGAAGUGUGUAAGAAUCAAUUCAACCAUGGAAGCUAUUGAUUAUAAUUUUUUUACUAAAAUUGAGAACGUCCUGGUCCUUGUUCAGCAGGUGAAGGGGUCUUGACACAUUAUUGCCUGCUUGAAGCAACUUGGCUCCUUGGCACCUGAGGAAAGAGGUCUCCUUGUUAUAUCUGAGUGAAUAUGGGAUCUGCAGCUUUCAUGCUGUUUCUCUUGGUAUGUAAAUUUAAUAAUAGAAGCAUUUAAAAAGCACUUUCAUAUAACACACAUACUUGCCCUUCUUGCCUACAAAGGAAAAGUCUGGAGCUGUUGCCCGCAGAAUUGGAAGUCAUUUAGUUCCAGUUGCUACUUUUUUUCUACUGAUGCAAAAUCUUGGAAGGAGAGACAGGAGAACUGCUCUAGAAUGGAGGCUCACCUGGUGGUGAUCAACAGCAAGGAAGACCAGGUACUUUCUAAGGCACAAUGGAGUCAUGAACCUGUCUGACUUUUGUACUUGUCUUUGCUAAGAAGGGAUAUUGAUGCUGUGGCAGAAGACUUUCCAGAAGAAAGACAGGAAAGGCUCCCUCAACCUUCCCAUUCCACACCUUGUAUCUUCUUCAGUGUAACUAACCUACCACCAGGGAUAUUGUGGCAUUCAACACUUAAGACCUGGGGGUUUAGUGAAAGGAUGAAAAUAUUUCUGCCUAAAAUAGAAGUUGGUUAUUUCAAUAUAUAACUGUUUUCUGAAUGAUCAACUUCUUAACAGAAAGGAGAAUUAACUUCAAUGGGCAAAGUUAAAUCAAGAGACUCACAAUCAGCAAUCAGAAUGAAAUUUUAAGAAUUUAUGAAAUGCUGGUUGUUGUGGUACAUGCUUGUAAUCCCAUGGGCUUGGGAGGCUGAGGCAGGAGGAUCUCACGUUCAAAGCAAUCCUCCACAAUGUAGCUUGCUAGGCAAUUUAUCAAGACCCUGUCCCUAAUUGAAAUAUAGGGAAUUGUGCUUGGGGACUGGGGUUCUGGCUCAACGGUAGAGUGCUCGAUUAGCAUGUGUGAGGCCCUGGGUUCAAUCCUGAGAACCAUAUAAAAAUAAAAUAAAGAUAUCAUGUCCAUCUAAAACUAAAAAAUAAAUAUUAAAAAAAAAGAAAUGGUAGGGAUGUGGCUCAUUGGUUAAGCACUCCUGGGUUCAAUUUUGGGUACCAAAAGGAAAGAAAAAAUCCAUGAUAUAAUGAAAGUAAAUUGAUUAAUUUCUUAAGAAUUUUCUCAUGUGCAACCUUGAAGAAUAUUUUCUCAGUGAAGAAAAGAGGGAAGUUGAAUUUGAGAUGAGAGUUCAUUAUGAUUGUAGGUAAGAAUUGCUUCCAUAUUUAAUAAAAUUAAGAUAAAAAUAAAAUCACAGAUUAUAUCUUUUAUCCUGUUGUGCUCAAAGAUCUACAGUUCUGAGGUCCCCUCUCCAUCUGGUCAUUCCUGAACCAUCUCCUUUUGUUUUCAUUUCUGUAUGACCAUAAAGAGUUCAGUUGAAAAAUCACACUGUACCUUUAAAUAAGUAUAAUUAUUAGUUGUUAGUAAAAUCUUUAAAAAUAUGUAAAGAAGAUGGAAAUGUGAACUCUACCAAUUUUAUCAUUAUACACUGUGUAUAUGUAUCAAAUUAUCAUGUUACCUGAUAGAUUUUACAAUUCAAACAAGAAAGAAGAAAUAAAUCACCAAAAUUCUUUAAAAAUAUUUUUAUUGGUGAAUUUUAUUUACACAUGCGAGUGGAGUUCAUUCUGUUUUAUUAACACCAGUAUCUAGCAUGAUUUGGCAAAUUAAAAAAAAAAAACAACCUCAGUUCAAGCUGAGUAUCUAAAGUCUAUGACUUCUUUUCUUUUCCUUUUCUUUUAGGAUUUCCUGACUCAGAAUAUGGAUAAAAACGCUGCUUAUUUUAUGGGGCUAUCAGAUCCAGAGGGUCAAGGACACUGGCAAUGGGUUGAUCAGAUCCCAUACAACCAAAGUGCCACAUGAGUACAGAAUUAGAUAAAGGAAUCCUGGGUCCUGGGUCAUGCAGGAAGUUUAGAGUGUUCCAGCAUCAGUUCUGAAAUUUAAAAAGUUCACUCUUGUCCUAUUGCACACAUAGUUAAUCAAUUUUAUUACCUCAUUAAAUUAUCACAGAACCCUAGGAGGCACACAUUAUUUUUCCUAUUAUAGAACUGAGGAAAUUGAGUUUGGAGAGUAUAGAUAGUUCAGCUAAGGUCACCCAACAAUAUUCUUUAGAACCAGGUGGAUUCUACUUUGCUUUUAAAAACUCUAUUGAUUCUCUGUAAUAAAAAUUCAUGUUUUUAAAGAUCAUUAUGGAUUAUCAUGAUUUAAUAUUUCUCAUAAAGCAAAAAUUCUUUCUUUGAUACGAUUACAAUAUCUCAUAUUUAUGUAAUCUUUAAAGACAUUUAAAUACAUUAGUAUACUCCCACCUUUGAUCCUUAUAUCUUCUUUGUGAAAUAUAUAGUGCUGUUACUAUGGUCCAGUUUUUAGAUGGGCAAACUGAGAAUCUAAAAAAUUAAAUUAUUUGACCUAGAAAAUAGGAAUAAGUAGAAGAUCUAGAGAUUUUACGAGUUCUUCAGAUUUCAAAAUCAUCCCAUUAAAAUGUGGAAAAAAGCAUAUAUUGACACAUGGGACCAUGGUGACUUCUCUUCAUCAUACAAGAAAGGCCCAUGGAUUGACAGUCUCCUGGCAACAGGUCCUAUGUUUAGAGUAGAGCCCAUGGCCCAGUGUUUAGUGCAAUAAGGUAUGAGAAAAUGUGAGUGAUGAGGGCACCAUUUUCAAAAUAAAUGCCAGAGGUGUGGGUGGAGGAGAAACUGCAUGAGAAUUGGGAAGGGUUGGUGUGGGCAUAUCUGACCCUGAAUUCCACAAAAUUCCACCACAGCUUCUGACCCCAUAACUAACUUUAUCCCCUUUAAAAGCAGUCUUGGAAGAAUCACUUCAUCCUUUUUCUCUGUUUCAGAUUCUGGCAUCUAGGUGAGCCAAGUCAUAGUGAAGAGCAUUGUGUUAUAGUAAAUCAUCGUCUUCCAUCAUUGCAAUGGGGCUGGAGUGAUAUACUUUGUAAAGAUCAUCAAUGAUCAGUUUGUGAAAUGAUGAAGAUCUACAUAUGAAUCAACACUUUUAAUGGACAUGUGUUUGGAUUAGCAUUCAUUAUUCUAGAGCUAGCUCAUAAGUUCUUCUUUAUGAAAGACAUUCCAUAGACUUUUAGGUAUGUGGUCAACUAUUCCACUUUUGAGGAAAUGUUAGUGUUGCAUAUGGAAUUCAUCAGUUUGCUUCCUACAGAGCUCCUAAUAAAAUAAUUGUGGGGGACUUUUACUUAAUGUACAAUGAAUUUACUCCAUAUUAUUUCUGUACCAUAAUGAUGGUACAGAAUUUUCAAAAGAUACAUUUUACUCAAAAUGCCUUUGACUGUCUCAAUAAAGAGAGUAAUUGAAAAGGAGUGAAAUAUCUUAUCCUGUGUGUAGCCAAUGCUGGAACUCUUCUCUUCACUCUACCUUGUGUUGUAUGAGUGUGUUUCUGUGUCUUUUAUUUAUUUUUCUCUAGAGCAUCUUUACAUCAAUGUGUGUGAACAGGUUUUAUGUGAGGUUUGUGUUUAAAGAGUGAUAUAGAAUCAGAAACCAUCCUACUAAGUGCUAAUUACUGAAAAGGAUUGUAAGAAGUAAUACAGCAGUUAUGGUUUUAAGCCACUAAGAUUUUGGGUAGAAUGUUCAGUACUGGGGAGAAUACUUUUACUUUCAAGCAUCUAUCAGUUUGUAGAAAUGAUAAUGUUGAAGCUGGCUGAAUUUUCUUAAGGCGGAGAUUUGCUACAACUGACAACCCUGUAGAUCCCUUUGGAUGUAAAUUUUAUUCAGAUGAUUUUAAUAAUGAAACAUGGAUUAUGUUAAAGAUUAGAUAUGAGGUAUCUCCCAAAAGUUUAUGUGUGUGACAAUGAAAGAAAGUUUGGAGUUGACAUGAUGGGAUAUGAGAACCUUCACCCAAUCAGUGCAUUAAUCCCCUGAUAGGGACUAAAUAAAUUUUAAGUGUAGGCAUGUAGGGUGUGGCUGAAAGAGGUGAGUCACUGAGAGUGUACCUUUGAGGUGGGUAUUUGGUUAUGGUGGGAGGAUUCUGUUUUUUUUUUCUCCCUCUCUGCUUCCUGGUGGGCAUGUCCUGAGCCACUGUUCUCCUCUACACCUUUCUGCUCUGAUGGUCUAUUUCACUUCAGGCCCAGAGCAAUGGGAGCUGGCCAUCUAUGGACUGAGACCUUUGAAAGCAUGAGCCCCAGAUGAAAAUUUUCUCUUCUAAAAUACUUUUCUCAUUUAUUUUGGUCACAGUUGCAAAAAAGGUGACUAAAACAGAUUAGAAGUCCUUUCUUUUCCUACAUGGAAAUCAUCAGUAGUGCACACUUGUUGGGAAUGAGUUCAGUGAUUCAAGGACAGAAGAAAUAAUGAGGCACAGUUCAGCUGUAUUAAAGCAAUUGUUCAGUGUAAAGUUUUGAUGAAAUAUUGUGUAAUAAAAUUUUGGAUGAAAUGCUUUGGAGUAGUUAAAAAUGUUGUAAAUGGAAUUUUUAAAAUGAGGAACCAGCUUUGAGGAUUGUGGUUCAUGUUUGCUGUCUAUUCAUCCCUUCUCUCCCUCGAAAAUAAUAUCUCAAUAUUAUUUAAAGUCACACUUUCCUUCUUGAAGCUCGUGUGACUUGGGAUGCUGUGAGUCAAUAUGGAUUAAUCCAAGUCAACAACACAAUCAUACUAGUGAUUGGUUUAGGAAUAGCACGAAUUGUUAGUCCUGCUAAGAAAUUGCUUCUUCCUCUUCUCAGAGGAAUCAGGGAGUGAAUCUCCCUCUCUUAAUGAACAUGAAAGGUCCUGUUCACAACUGACAGUCAUACUGUUACCAUGAGGGGAAGUAGUCUUCAAAUGAUAGAAACACCAUGGAUGGCAGAGUCGAGCCAUGGGAAGAAUUUGGUUAUUUAAGUUCUUUGUGAGUCACUAAAUGGACUAUUUUCACAGCAUAGCCUACUAUGAGGUUUUAUUGUGAAGGCUAAUAAAUUUCUAAUUAUUUGUCAGAUUGAAUCCUGAUGGAUUAAGAAAAUACAUUACUUUUAGUGACUAGAUUUUAUUGAGGUAUAGUUUACAUAAGUACAAGGCACACACUUUCUGAGUAUAGUUCCAUGAUUUUGUCAAGUGUAUGCAAACCUGUAACCACCAUGAUUAUCUACAAUAAAGAUUUCUAGCAUUUCCCAAUGCUCCCUGUCCUAACAGUAUGAAUGCAAUGUUCUGAUUACUGCUUUUCAAAUUCCAUAUAAAGCAGAUAACAAAGUUUGCUUUUUCUUUUUACUUUCCUUAUCUCAAUAUGUUUGUAGGAUUCUCCUAAGUUUUUUGUAUUUUUUCAUUGGUAGAUUCAAUUUUUUUAUGGAGUUGUGUUUCAUUGUAACAUGUUCUCUAGCAUGAUCUAUUUAUCUGAAUUGCUGUUGGGUAAGCUUUGAAUUAUUUUUAAUAUCUUAUCUAUUAUGAAUAAAGCUUCUUCUUUUACAUGG